AUUAAAAUUGCACAAAUAUCAUAUGCAACUGUUCCUGACAUCUCUCUUGCUUGUAUUUGACCCGCGUCUGUUGAAUUUACUUCAUAGAAAUGGUUUAGUGUUUUCGAACAAGUCCGUGAGCAUCAUAACCGUUAUCAGAGGAGAUUCUUCUAGUGUUUGAUGGCUUUCUGUAUCCCAUGAUGAGCAAACCUCCUGUCCAACAACAUCUCCAAGGCACACUGAUCCAUAUGACUAGCAGUGAAAAAUACAUCGUGGACCAAAGAGGAAACUGACAACGCACUGACAGAAGAAGACAGAGAAGGUCACUUCUGAUCCAUAAAAGUCCUCAUCUUCUGUGUCUGAAUUGAACAACUGGGCAACAGCUUUUGAACAGGUUUCUUCAUCAAACAUGCCGGGUUCCCUCUCAUCAUGGUUGAUCACUGCCAGCGUACGUAGUGUACGUAUUACGUCCCUGUGUCAGCGGCAAAUGGUCCGACAGUCAGCCUCGCGUGUGGAGACUUCAGAAGAUGCCAGACCUCACAAAGAUUUCAGAUGAUGGAAACUAUAGAUGAACAUGCAAAGCUGCUAAAUAAUCCUUAUAUUGUAAUCAUUGUCCUAAAAGGGAGGAUCUUGUCAGAAAUCUUCUUCACAGCACAUCAGUGAACUCAGUUAACAGUUUCAGACGGUGUGUUGGAUCAGGGUCAGAUCUGAAUUCUGCUGGUUUCCUGGGAUGACCGUUGAAGAGAUCAGCACAUCAGAUGUUGGCCUGGACAGCUGUACCUACAGUACACCACACUGACUUCUUUGCAUGGAUAGCUGACUACUACUAUUAUGUUCUGUGAAGGUAUUAUUAUAGCAAAUCUGAGCACCUGUGACAGUGGAAAUGUUGUAAUGAAUAGUCACACAUGCAUAUUUGUACAUUUAAAGUCACAGAUAAAUUUUUUUAGUACUAACAAUAUGUUUUUUUUUUUACUAAUUCUCUCCUGCAAACACAACACAACAGUUACACCAUUUCAUAUUCUGAGGUGCACAAAUCCUAUUCUACAAAUAAGAGAACAACAGUAUACUAGUGCUCCUAUACUAGUUUAGCCCCUUUCAC